GGUAAGGAUGCAUGUAAAAUGCUCCACAUGGCACCAGACACUUGGUUAGCUCAGAGUAAGCAGAAGCCCUCACUUCUUUCUGAGCUCCAGUCACAUUGGCUUCUUCUUACCUUCCCACCUCAGACCCUUUGCACGAGAACCUUUGCCAGGAACACCCUCCCCUGACCUACCCCUUUCAGCUAGUAAACACUUACUUGCCUUCCAUAGUACAACUCAAAUGUCACUUCUUCCAGGAAGCCCUCCUCGACUAACCUGUCCUCUGAUAUGAACUGCCUACACCUUUCCUUCACGGUACCCACUGCAGUUCUAAUGCAUGUUUAUUUGCAGGUUCACCUAAUUAACACCCACUGGACUGCAAACUCGACAAGGCAAGGCCAGACUGCAUGUUUUUGCACUCCCUUCCACCCCUACCCUGCUGGAAUUCUUCUACCUACCAUGAAGUAUGACCCACAGUCCAACCCAACAAAGAUCUGCUGAUGGAAGAAACGGGGCAAUGCCUGUACAUGGGGCCUUCAGGUCCGGCUGGAACAAGGCGGCUUCCCUGUUUUACUCUGCUGUGGCCUGUUUGUUUAGGUGGCAGGGGCUUGGACAAUGGGCGUCCAUGCCGAGAUACAAUGGAGCUGUCAAUUAAGAUGCCCCGCCUUCCCCUGGCAGAGGGUCAGAUGCUCUGCCCUGGGAAUUUGAAUGAAUCCCUCAGCCGGCCCAGCUACUCACUGCUCUGGUCCCAUCUGACCCAGGUGGUCUCACCAUUCUCCCCCACCUUCUGCCUUCUAAUAAAUUCCUUUCGUGCCUGAUAGUUUUGCAGAGCUGGCUUCUGCUGCAUGACACUAAAGAACCCUGAUGGAUACAUGUGAUGAGUGAUUUUGGGCCAAAGGAGACCUAAGAUACAGGUUCAUUUCAAGACUGGG
rnacentral:lncRNA from 1 species